UUUGGUUGCUUUCCUUGUGAAGUUAGUGUUGAUUUUGGCCUGUUGAACAGGGUGAACAUUUGUAGUUGCGUAGCAGCGUCUCUACCUGCCGACCUGUGGCCUGGAGAUGGCUGAAGUAGCUGGAGUUUGGUACGGGAAGAGGCCACGACGCGCGAGCCUUCAAAUGGGCGCACGCGGCGUUGUUUCUUCACUCCACCAACAAGUACACAAACAAGUACAAGCGUGCGAGUCAAUCAACAAACAAUUAAAGCUCUCCAAGUUUCCUGUAACAAGCAAUCAAGCUUGUCUGUUUCCCCUUCGGCCUGACGGCCCUGUAUCCGACUCUCGCCGCGAGCGGGCGCUCCCCCUCCGGUCUCUCCGCCGGCCCGAAGGGCCGGCGCUGUAUUGUGCUGGUGUGUCCUGUGUAGCUAUCCCCAGCCACAGGCCCCUCACAGGUUUCCCUGCGUUUCCCUCGUCGUCGUCCUCAAGGAGCCGUCGACUACUUCUCCGCGCCCCGUCAGCGACUACAGCUGCCCGCGUCUGUCUCCAAAGCACCGCCUGCCGUCUGCGCCACGCCAGUGCUACUUCUCCGCCUUCUUUGCGAGCCACCACCCGGCUCCCUUGCCUGCUUCACGCUCCGUGUUGCAGAGCCCGCAGGUCGCCUCGAGCCCUCCUGCAUUUGAGACUCCCUUCCCUGCGUGCCUGUGCUUAGGUUUCCUGUGUCGCAGCAGCUUGGUGUCGUGCCUUGCACCCACCAGCUCCGGCCCUGGUCCCUGCCUUGCACUCCCGGAAUCCCCUGCCUUCGCCUCCUACUCCCUUCUCUGCCUUCUCCUUCUUCCUUCGCCUCCUUCGUCAGCCUAGCACCACCCGCCUCCAGUCAGCGCCGCAGACCAUCCAGAGCCCAGUGCUCCGUGACCCCUGCCGCUGCCUGUGUGCGUGAGCGUGUGUGUGAGUCCCGGCUGCUGCUUCACCCCUGAGACUCCUGAGACUCCCGAGACUCCCGUAUAUACAUAUCUCCCGUCAACCCAUUCAAGGUUCGCUGCAUCUACACCGCCGCCGUCCCGAAGCCAAGACCUUCGUCCAAGGGCCGCGUGUGUGUGCCUGUGUACCGUACCGUACGCGUGUGUUCGUGUGCGUGUGACCGGUAUCCCCCCAGUCCUGCGGUUGUUAGUGGUGGCACGACCGACAAGCGGUUCAUCGCGUCUUCAUACGUGAGCCCGUGCACUACAACGCAUUACACAACCCGUGGGCGCGAAAAAGUUUUGUACUUUCCAGGGUUUCCUGGGCGUGCGCCUUUUGUGGGGGGAGUUGCGGGAACGUGUUUUGUGUAUAGUUGCUGUCGCGUGUUUGACACCUAGCCCGCUGCGCAAGUCGCAGGGCAAUCUCCACGGGGGCCAGCUUUCCCCGCAGCCCGUUUACAGAGCGCAUUACCUGCUUGCUUCACCUGCUUUGCUUGCCACUACUGAGGUUUGAAUUCUGCCAGCCUGCAUUGGCGCGGUCAGCCCGUCGUGCCCUGCCUGAACCUGUUGCUUGACCUGUCGGUCGGACCCGUCUUUUGGUUUAGAUCCUACGCGUCAGCUUCUGAUCUGCCUCACGCGUCCCCCUACGCGGAGUGCCCAUUUCUAUCUUUGAACCAUUACUGAAACCCCACACAAUUCCUUCCUUAUUGCGCCCCUCCCCUAACAGGUGCGGACGCCCCCUGUACCGUCGCGCCUGCUUGCUUCCACGUCGCUCCUCGCCUCCCAUCCGUGACAAUGGAUGCAGAAGACGAACCACCUCCUGUGCCAAACCGACGUGUCGUACCUCGUUUUGAUGCAUCAGCUCUUGAGUGCGUACCCGUCUACACGCCGGCUGAUAGCGCGCAACAGUGGCUCGACACACUGGACGUUUGUGCUCGGAUGUACUGCUGGUCGGACGCAACCAGGUUGGAUGUUGCUAAAUGCCGCCUUGGCCCUGAGGCACAAAGGUGGUGUUCAGGCUUCGGGUUUGCUGAGUGGCCAGCUUUCUGUGCUGCAUUCACAGAGCGCUUCGGUCUCAGGACCGGUGAGCUUUACACCCGUCUAGCCAAUUGUCAGCAACAACGGGAUGAACCUGUUCGUGCUUAUUGUGACCGCUACCGACACCUUCUCGCUGAGUUGCGUGUCAAUGGUGACGCACAUGACACCCACCUGCAUGGGUUCAUGAACGGCCUGAGGUCACCCAUCCGCCAACAGACCAAACUUGCGCGGCCAGAAACCCUAUCACAGGCCAUGGCACACGCUAUCCGCGUUGGUGGGGUGAUACUCAACCGGCCAGACCGGUUCACACUUGGGUACCCGGGCUCACCAUUGCCACUUAUGCCGACUGGUGACCUCCGAGUGUACCUGAUGGAGAACUACGGUCCUUUGGGGCCGCUUCCCGGGUCGUCACGCCAGAAUUCAACUGAUGAGCUGCCUUACACGGAUCCAGACCCGGAUCCAGAUCCCACUGUUGAUGCGUGUGAUUAUGAGAUGGUCAGCUUCCUGCAGGUUGUUGAUAGCAGCCAUGAGGGAACAGUGACAUCCCGUGAUAACCGCAGCGCUGGCGAACUAUGGGCGUUCGUGGGAGAGCUGACUGAGUACCUCGCUGUCAAUCCUCAACUCUCUCCCUACGAGAAAGAGUUAUGGGCUAGACAGGUACGCCUUGCCACGGCAAGGUAUGAGGACCUCAAGCACCAAUCCGGCCCUGGCACCCCACUGCACGCCGGGUAUGGAAGCGUCGUUCUCCCGCAGGCUGACCAUGAGUCACAUUCAUGCCGCGCCCGUAUGCCUGACCCGGCUCCGUACAACCCAAUGCAUGUUGGGGCGGACCCGGUGACGCCCAUGGCUAUGUCUCCGCCAUUGCGUUCAGGCAACACUCCCCAAGUGUCACCCCCCGUGACACCGCAGCUCAGACCGCAUGCUGAGACCCAACUGCGCGGACCCUGCUGGCGUCCCCCAGACACCUCCAGUCCACAACUGUCGCAGCCUCUUCCGCAGCCCGCCUCACUUCCAAGGGUGAAGCCCUUUUGCAAGCCAGUGCUUUAUCAACCGUCGCAGCUGCCUGCGACGCCUGACAGGCCACCGCCGCCGCCUCUGGCGCCCUUUACUCCGCCAUCGCCGGAGCUUGUGGCUCCUCCCGAGCCACCGCCGCCGCCUCUGGCGCCCUCUACUCCGCCAUCGCCGGAGCUUGUGGCUCCUCCCGAACCACCGCCGCCGCCUCUGGCGCCCUCUACUCCGCCAUCGCAGCAGCUUGUGGCUCCUCCCGAGCCACCGCCGCCGCCUCUGCUGGCGCCCUCUGCUCCGCCAUCGCAGCAGCUUGUGGCUCCUCCCGAGCCACCGCCGCCGCCUCUGGCGCCCUCUGCUCCGCCAUCGCAGCAGCUUGUGGCUCCUCCCGAGCCACCGCCGCCGCCUCUGGCGCCCUCUGCUCCGCCAUCGCAGCAGCUUGUGGCUCCUCCCGAGCCACCGCCGCCGCCUCUGGCGCCCUCUGCUCCGCCAUCGCAGCAGCUUGUGGCUCCUCCCGAGCCACCGCCGCCGCCUCUGGCGCCCUCUACUCCGCCAUCGCAGCAGCUUGUGGCUCCUCCCGAGCCACCGCCGCCGCGUUUAGCGCCCUCUGCUCCGCCAUCGCAGCAGCUUGUGGCUCCUCCCGAGCCACCGCCGCCGCCUCUGGCGCUCUCUACUCCGCCAUCGCAGCAGCUUGUGGCUCCUCCCGAGCCACCGCCGCCGCCUUUGGCGCCCUCUGCUCCGCCAUCGCAGCAGCUUGUGGCUCCUCCCGAGCCACCGCCGCCGCCUCUGGCGCCCUCUACUCCGCCAUCGCAGCAGCUUGUGGCUCCUCCCGAGCCACCGCCGCCGCCUCUGGCGCUCUCUACUCCGCCAUCGCAGCAGCUUGUGGCUCCUCCCGAGCCACCGCCGCCGCCUCUGGCGCCCUCUACUCCGCCAUCGCAGCAGCUUGUGGCUCCUCCCGAGCCACCGCCGCCGCCUCUGGCGCCCUCUGCUCCGCCAUCGCAGCAGCUUCUGGCUCCUUGCGAGCCACCGCCGCCGCCUUUGGCGCGCUCUUCGCCGUUGCUACAGUACGUGGCUCGUCCCGAGCCGCCGCCGGCAUCUGUGGCGUCCUUUCCCUCUACUCUAGCGCCAUCGCUGCGUGCGCUCCCUCAAGAGCCCCCGCCGCCUCCGCUGGCGUCGGCUCCCUCUACUCCGCCGCCGUCAUUGCGUUCGCUCCCUCCUGAUCCUCCGCCGCCUCCGUCGGCGUCCUAUCCCUCAACUCCGCUACCGUGUCUUCAUGCAUCCUGUUUGGACAAGGCGCAAACGAAGCUUCAGUUAUUCCGUACAACCAGUGCCGUCUCGCUUCAUGCCGACGGAGUAUUGACGGCAUGCGUAGUCUCAAGGGAAAUGAUGCCUGACAAUGAUAUAAUUUCAGCUUCAACCGCAGCGCUUAUGCUCCUUGGGCCCACAGCGCUUUCGGUUCAUGCCGACGGAGUGGGAAGCCCGUUGCCAUCGCGCGACUACAAGCCGCACGAUCUCCUGCUGCUCAUCAAAGGCAGGGGUUCUUUGAUCGUGCAUCCUCCCACAUCAUCAACCGUGCUCAAGAGUGUCUACCAUCGUAGGCGCGGCCGCCGCCGCCGCCGCCAAUGUCUACACAAAGGGUGCGUUAAGAUCCUCAACCAGACAAGUUCUGGCAGUUUUGGUGUUCAGGCCCGCCAUCGCCGCCACCAUCGCCGUCGUCGCAAGCGACCACCACAUGUGACAUCAGAACACGCCUUCCCUCCACCUUCACUCAAGACCACCAUAAACUAUCCCUUCGUUCUGUGCAACAGACCAUGUGGUUUGCCAUGCACGCAUGUGUGUUUGGGUUGGGUUCCAGUCGGGGCGUGAGAGGCCACAGGUGGACAGCAAUGUUGGCGUACACCUGCUCAUGGCCCACACCUGGUUGGGAUUUGUGUUAAAAUUUAGCCUUACUCACUUGUUUGUUUGAUUAUGUUUGUGUGUGCAAGUAAUGUCUUGCCUGAUACUUAGAAGACCGCUUGGAACAGAAAUACGAGAGAGCCGCGCCUAUGGAGGAAAACCGUUGGCUGGGUCGGUGUUUCGUAACCCAUGUCAUGUCAAGGCGUGCUGGGUCGGGUUUAUCAAAUUAAAACGAAGCAAAAGAGGCCGCAAGUGUAGAUGAGUGUUGGGGCAGCGCUUGCUAUGGGCCCACACACCAGUCGGUGUGCCGAAGCUUCUCAGGGAUAAGGUUUUGUGUGUAUGACUGAAUGUACCAGCGACCUGGCUGGCCACCGGUGACAGCGGCAACCCGUGUGUGUGUGUGUGUGUGUGUGUGCGUGUGAUGCGAGGACGGGUCCACAUACAGCCCCGCCUACUCACACAGGGGUUUGGGCAAACAAUCUGGAGAAAAGAGGCCACAGGUGCAGAAAAGUGUUGGGGGUAGCACCUGCUAAGAGCCCACACACCCGUUGGUGUGCAAAGACUCCAGGGGCGUGUUUGAUAGUUGCGGUGACAGUGGAAAGCUAAGCGUGGAUGGAUCUGCCUUUGUGUUGUAUGUUGGAUGACGGCAGGUGUGGAAAGCUAAGCGUGGAUGGAUCUGCCUUUGUGUUGUGUGUUGGAUGACGGCAGGAGUGGAAAGCCAAGCGUGGAUCUGCCUUUGAGUUGUAUGUUGGGUAAUGGCAGGAGCGGAAAGCCAAGCGUGGAUCUGCCUUUGUGUUGUGUGUUGGGUAAUGGCAGGAGUGGAAAGCCAAGUACGGAUCUGCCUUUGUGUUGAUGAGCCGUGGCCCGUGCGGUAUCCUGCCUACCUGCUUGCCCAAGGGACGGGCAAGGGUGCCGACGGAGGACUCACAGCUGUGGGUUGAAUAUGCGGCAGUCAGGAUUUCCCGACACGCCACACUUUCACCACAUGCUACAACAUGCUCCGCAACGCACGCGCGAAAGCCUGUGCGUGUGCGGAAGCACCUGAGGUGUUGCACGAUGUUGCUCGCUUCGGGCAGCACGCCCAAUACGGAGGAUGACAUCUGGGGUGAUAUGUGCUUGAAGAUAGAUAAUAGUAUUGUUUACGGGUGUUGGGAGUCGGCGAGCGACAGCGAGCAUGCCGAUGGUGCCGCGCCGGUUGAGAAGUUGUUAGGAGUUCUGGAUUUACAGUUGCGCGCCGCUUGAUAAAAGCUUCAAGCAGCACAGGCCUGACAAAGAAUUCGGAUAAAAACGUUGGUGUGCUACUGCACGGCUGCGAGGUUUCAAUCUGUCGAAAUAAGACGCAGUUUCGGUCAUUUGCUCGGGCACGUCCCAUAGCAUUUCGCAGCUCGUGUCGAAUGGUGUGGUUUGGUUGCUUUCCUUGUGAAGUUAGUGUUGAUUUUGGCCUGUUGAACAGGGUGAACAUUUGUAGUUGCGUAGCAGCGUCUCUACCUGCCGACCUGUGGCCUGGAGAUGGCUGAAGUAGCUGGAGUUUGGUACGGGAAGAGGCCACGACGCGCGAGCCUUCAAAUGGGCGCACGCGGCGUUGUUUCUUCACUCCACCAACAAGUACACAAACAAGUACAAGCGUGCGAGUCAAUCAACAAACAAUUAAAGCUCUCCAAGUUUCCUGUAACAAGCAAUCAAGCUUGUCUGUUUCCCCUUCGGCCUGACGGCCCUGUAUCCGACUCUCGCCGCGAGCGGGCGCUCCCCCUCCGGUCUCUCCGCCGGCCCGAAGGGCCGGCGCUGUAUUGUGCUGGUGUGUCCUGUGUAGCUAUCCCCAGCCACAGGCCCCUCACAGGUUUCCCUGCGUUUCCCUCGUCGUCGUCCUCAAGGAGCCGUCGACUACUUCUCCGCGCCCCGUCAGCGACUACAGCUGCCCGCGUCUGUCUCCAAAGCACCGCCUGCCGUCUGCGCCACGCCAGUGCUACUUCUCCGCCUUCUUUGCGAGCCACCACCCGGCUCCCUUGCCUGCUUCACGCUCCGUGUUGCAGAGCCCGCAGGUCGCCUCGAGCCCUCCUGCAUUUGAGACUCCCUUCCCUGCGUGCCUGUGCUUAGGUUUCCUGUGUCGCAGCAGCUUGGUGUCGUGCCUUGCACCCACCAGCUCCGGCCCUGGUCCCUGCCUUGCACUCCCGGAAUCCCCUGCCUUCGCCUCCUACUCCCUUCUCUGCCUUCUCCUUCUUCCUUCGCCUCCUUCGUCAGCCUAGCACCACCCGCCUCCAGUCAGCGCCGCAGACCAUCCAGAGCCCAGUGCUCCGUGACCCCUGCCGCUGCCUGUGUGCGUGAGCGUGUGUGUGAGUCCCGGCUGCUGCUUCACCCCUGAGACUCCUGAGACUCCCGAGACUCCCGUAUAUACAUAUCUCCCGUCAACCCAUUCAAGGUUCGCUGCAUCUACACCGCCGCCGUCCCGAAGCCAAGACCUUCGUCCAAGGGCCGCGUGUGUGUGCCUGUGUACCGUACCGUACGCGUGUGUUCGUGUGCGUGUGACCGGUAUCCCCCCAGUCCUGCGGUUGUUAGUGGUGGCACGACCGACAAGCGGUUCAUCGCGUCUUCAUACGUGAGCCCGUGCACUACAACGCAUUACACAACCCGUGGGCGCGAAAAAGUUUUGUACUUUCCAGGGUUUCCUGGGCGUGCGCCUUUUGGACUCACAGGCCGGCGGGGGCGCUGAGCCUGCUCCACCAGCUCGAGGCGGCAGUCAAGGUGCGUGCGGCCGCGUCCAGGUGCCUGACCUACCGCCUGGGAUCCCUCCCUGCAGCCGCCCUGCACCACCGCCUGCACCACCACCACCACCACCGUUUGGUGUGCCGAUAGGUGCUCAACUCCUCGUAUGCGGCCCCUUCCCCUCGGGCUCGGGCAUGUAACCUGGUACCGGGAAUUGAAUAAAUUACCCCACCAUCUCCCCCAUGCCAUGCGUCUCCGUGAUUCUGGUUUCUUUGUUGGAAUAGUGAAACCAACCCCC
rnacentral:lncRNA from 1 species